UUUUGUGUGCAUUUGUGUAUCCUGUGUGUGUAUUUAUGAAUUAUGUGUGUGCAUGUAUGAAUCCUAUGUGUGCAUAUGUGACUGUAGUGUGUGCAUUUAUCUUUAUUGAGACUCCUCUGGCUCCAUAAGACUGGGAAGGUGGAACAACUUGGAUGAGCUUCUGGAACAACUGGAUGCCCAGCAGAAGAAAGAAAUUCAUACAGGUUUGAAACAACAUGAGGAUGAGCAUAUGAUGACAGAACUUACAUUUUUCGGAAACUAUUUCAUGAAGUUGGUUGAAAUGACGCCCAAUGGUGAAAAGAACCACAGAUCUAACUACUCAUUGAAGGUCUGCUGUUCUUAGUGGUCUUCCCCUGUACUUGAGAGAGCCAGCUUCAAUUUCAAAGACUAUUAAGGAUACUGAGGCACUGGGGCCACACAAAAAGGCCAUGAAAAUGAAGUGACUGACCUUAUCCCAGAGUGGUCAAUGUGGCUGUAGUAGUGGAGGAGGAAGUUGUCAUGGACAAUCUGGGAGACUUCACAAAUUCCCUCAUGAUGUUUGUUUCGGCACUGGUUGAAUACUUGUGUAAUAUUUUACUUGAGCCUAACAGGCAAAUUCAUAUGUAUUUAAAUAAAUAAAUAAAAUGUUUUUUUU